UCAUCUUCUUCGCGAAGCCUCCUCCACUAGAUCGGGUCGUCUUCGUGCGACGCUUUCCUUUGCCAAAUCGCAUUAUCUUCUUCGCGAGGCCUUUUCCCACCAAAUUGGGUCAUCUCCGUCAUGAGGUUUUCUUCCACGAAAUUGCGUCCAAGGCCAUGGUGCAGAUAUCUGUAUCCUAAUAGUCGGAUAACCGUAUCCAUCUGUCAAACGCCGUAUCUGUUGAUUCAAAUACGUAUCCAACACAUAUUCGACCAUAUCAAAUGCGUAUCGUGUCCAUUUGCGUAUCCGACAUGCGAUAUGCGACCGAUGUGCAGUAUAUGUGCAUCGUAGACUAGAUCAUACUAGAAUUUUCAAAAACAGGACAUGCAAAACAUCAUCAGAUAUCCAAUUCAAAUUUAUUUUAAAAAAUAAAACAAUUCGAUCGAGUUGUAAGUUUUCCUUUUUUUUUUUGUGCCUAGGGUUUCAACAGCGAUAGCGAUGAUGGAGAUCGAUAGCAUGAAGGACGUCACUGCUGGUCAGAAGAAAGUCAAGUGGUUCGAGAAUCCAGAGAUCCUCCAAAUACUGAAGACGAUGUUUGAUCCUUGGCUGAACGAAGAUGGCAUGCCUGACGCCACCUCUUUCUUCAGUCGUUGCCCUAGAGGCUUUGGUAACAUUUUUUUCUCUUGUUAAUAUAUACAACACCAACAACCGAGAGUCUUAUCACAAUAAGAGCUGUUCCGUUUUGCGCCAUGUCUUCCGGUAGCUUCUUGUUAAGUGAAGUCCACACACUUCCCCUCUUUCUCCUCUCAGCCAUGGUUUCCUAUACCUUGCUCCACUCCUCGUACGGCUCCGGCGUCUGGUCCAAGAAGGAGUGGGUCAUCCCUGAGAUCGACGACGACGACACCGUUUUGACGUUCAAGGGGAACUCCAACUUCUUCUGGGCGGACCGCGAGCGGCAAGCUCGUGAGGCGGUAGAGAAUUCGAAGUCGGAUUUGCAGAUUGGUGAGUCUGCAAGUCCACAAUGUAAAGCUGCACUUCAAGAAACUACUCGUAUCAUUGAACAAAGUCUUACAACUAAUGGAAAAGCAAUAAGGGCGUUGUUUGGUGCAAGCCAGCUUGAUAUUGAUGGUGACUUCAUAUAUUUUCUGGCAGAUGCUGCUGUUAUAGCGUUUUAGUAUGGAAAUCCCGAUAGAGUGAGUUGCAAAGGCGAGGGAUAGAGAUGAAAGAGAGGGAGAGUUAGUGAGAGAGAUGAAGAGUUUUGUUUGAGAGACAGACAAAUUUUUGGACGGUGGAAACGGUCCGGGUUGGGGAUCCAUUUCCUCAACAAUUAGGAUUCGCCCCGCCUCACAACUAAUGUGGACUCGCCCUGUUUCAAAUUUAAAAAAAUUGGACCUGCCCCCUACCCACGGGUCCAUGCCCCAUUAAUUUGUCCACCCCUAGUUGUGAUUGUUGUUUGAUAUCAUAUAUUAUUAUUACAAUGUCCAAGGUGUGGGAAUUGUUAUAACCUUAGGGGAGGUUCUGCCGAAAUUUCGAUAUAAUUUGUAGUGUUUGUUUGACUGUUUUUUAUUUUUUUUCAGCAAAGAAAAAUACCCAGGGACCUUGUCUCCAAUUGAAGAUGGCGAAGGUCACCCAAGUGACCAACGGACGUAUCACGAUCAGAUACGAUGAGUGGCAUUGGGCUGCACCAACGCUGGAGCAGCAUAGCGCAUUGGCCCACAACAUUGGUCACAUUGUUUGGACUUAUUGCCCUAUGCUAUAGAAGUCUUGGAAGGCGAUGCCAGGCUAGGUCGCUCUUAAGGAGGGUUGCCCGAAGGAGUUUGAGGAUUCGGAAAAAAUUGGGUGUGGCUCUGCAGUCAUUUUCAAGUGCCCAGCUAUGUGAAGAAGGCGAAAGCCAACAAGAUCAAUCAGGAGAAGAAGACUUUUUUCUACCAUUCGGGUUUGAGGCCCUUCUUAUACAGGAUGGAGGCGCAGCGACAUACGGGUUCAAAAUUCCCGGAGAUCAAUGUCUUUGCAGAGUUUAUGUUCGACCCAUGGAUGAGUUGGCCAAGCCCCUUCAUGUAAGUAUUUUUCAAUUGUAAUUACUAUCUUACGCAUUCAAGUAUCAUGGUUAUUAUUUGAAUGUUAUUAUUAAUAUUUCAUAUUAUAUUACACAUGCGACGAUGAUGGAGAAGAUGCAGUUGGUUCUUCAGGGGUCCGCCUCCCAGCUUCCUCCUGAGACUCCUCUUAAGUUUGUGGAUCCCCCAAGGAUGUGGGGUUUCAGAUCCUUACAGACACCUUAGAUCAGACUCUUGGGUGGAGGUUAAGGACGUAUUGUAGGGGGAUGCGGAAUGCUUGGCGGUGGGAACUUUGAGCCUUUUCAUCCUCCCAAUCGAAGGAUGAGGUGACAUAUUUGACAACAAAGGUGGCCGACCUUAGGACUGGGUUCGCCUCAUAUAAGAGCCAGAUGUUACUAAUUUUAUAGGCCCUCAGUCAGUUAUACAUUCGUCUCUUAGAUAUUUGUCCCCUUUCGAUGUUAGAUCCCACAUCGCCUAGGGGAAUGGAUCCUCUAUG